GCAGUAGCCGCGGGAAUACGAAGGGGGCUAACGUUGCUCGGAAUCACUGGGCGUAAAGGGUGCGUAGGCGGGUCUUUAGGUCAGGGGUGAAAUCCUGGAGCUCAACUCCAGAACUGCCUUUGAUACUGAAGAUCUUGAGUUCGGGAGAGGUGAGUGGAACUGCGAGUGUAGAGGUGAAAUUCGUAGAUAUUCGCAAGAACACCAGUGGCGAAGGCGGCCAUCUGGGACAACACUGACGCUGAGGCACGAAAGCGUGGGGAGCAAACAGGAUUAGAUACCCGCGUAGUCCCUGUCUCUUAUAC
rnacentral:rRNA from 1 species